rnacentral:rRNA from 1 species
UACGAAGGGGGCUAGCGUUGUUCGGAAUUACUGGGCGUAAAGCGCACGUAGGCGGAUACUUAAGUUAGGGGUGAAAUCCCAGAGCUCAACUCUGGAACUGCCUUUAAUACUGGGUAUCUCGAGUCCGGAAGAGGUGAGUGGAAUUCCGAGUGUAGAGGUGAAAUUCGUAGAUAUUCGGAGGAACACCAGUGGCGAAGGCGGCUCACUGGCUCGAUACUGACGCUGAGGCGCGAAAGCGUGGGGAGCAAACAGG